rnacentral:rRNA from 1 species
GAUGAACGCUGGCGGCGUGCCUAAUACAUGCAAGUCGAGCGAACGGACGAGAAGCUUGCUUCUCUGAUGUUAGCGGCGGACGGGUGAGUAACACGUGGAUAACCUACCUAUAAGACUGGGAUAACUUCGGGAAACCGGAGCUAAUACCGGAUAAUAUUUUGAACCGCAUGGUUCAAAAGUGAAAGACGGUCUUGCUGUCACUUAUAGAUGGAUCCGCGCUGCAUUAGCUAGUUGGUAAGGUAACGGCUUACCAAGGCAACGAUGCAUAGCCGACCUGAGAGGGUGAUCGGCCACACUGGAACUGAGACACGGUCCAGACUCCUACGGGAGGCAGCAGUAGGGAAUCUUCCGCAAUGGGCGAAAGCCUGACGGAGCAACGCCGCGUGAGUGAUGAAGGUCUUCGGAUCGUAAAACUCUGUUAUUAGGGAAGAACAUAUGUGUAAGUAACUGUGCACAUCUUGACGGUACCUAAUCAGAAAGCCACGGCUAACUACGUGCCAGCAGCCGCGGUAAUACGUAGGUGGCAAGCGUUAUCCGGAAUUAUUGGGCGUAAAGCGCGCGUAGGCGGUUUUUUAAGUCUGAUGUGAAAGCCCACGGCUCAACCGUGGAGGGUCAUUGGAAACUGGAAAACUUGAGUGCAGAAGAGGAAAGUGGAAUUCCUUGUGUAGCGGUGAAAUGCGCAGAGAUAUGGAGGAACACCAGUGGCGAAGGCGACUUUCUGGUCUGUAACUGACGCUGAUGUGCGAAAGCGUGGGGAUCAAACAGGAUUAGAUACCCUGGUAGUCCACGCCGUAAACGAUGAGUGCUAAGUGUUAGGGGGUUUCCGCCCCUUAGUGCUGCAGCUAACGCAUUAAGCACUCCGCCUGGGGAGUACGACCGCAAGGUUGAAACUCAAAGGAAUUGACGGGGACCCGCACAAGCGGUGGAGCAUGUGGUUUAAUUCGAAGCAACGCGAAGAACCUUACCAAAUCUUGACAUCCUUUGACAACUCUAGAGAUAGAGCCUUCCCCUUCGGGGGGCAAAGUGACAGGUGGUGCAUGGUUGUCGUCAGCUCGUGUCGUGAGAUGUUGGGUUAAGUCCCGCAACGAGCGCAACCCUUAAGCUUAGUUGCCAUCAUUAAGUUGGGCACUCUAAGUUGACUGCCGGUGACAAACCGGAGGAAGGUGGGGAUGACGUCAAAUCAUCAUGCCCCUUAUGAUUUGGGCUACACACGUGCUACAAUGGACAAUACAAAGGGCAGCGAAACCGCGAGGUCAAGCAAAUCCCAUAAAGUUGUUCUCAGUUCGGAUUGUAGUCUGCAACUCGACUACAUGAAGCUGAAAUCGCUAGUAAUCGUAGAUCAGCAUGCUACGGUGAAUACGUUCCCGGGUCU